rnacentral:rRNA from 1 species
AUGUCGUCCGCGAUGUCCCGCGCGAUCCGGGCGUGCGCGGCCGGGGCGUCGAGGAGGGGCCUGGCGUCCGUGGAGGCGAUGGGGGCGGCCAAGGGGGCGCCGCCCGCGGCCGGGCGCGGGCGCGGCGGCCCGGGGCCCGUGGAGGACGGGGCGCGGGUGCAGUGGGUGUUCCUCGGCUGCCCCGGGGUCGGCAAGGGCACCUACGCUGGCCGCCUCUCGCGGCUGCUCGGCGUGCCCCACAUCGCCACCGGCGACCUCGUCCGCGACGAGCUCGCCUCCUCAGGCCCGCUCGCCAAGCAGCUUUCGGAGAUUGUGAAUCAUGGAAAACUGGUGUCUGAUGAGAUCAUCAUAAAUCUGCUGUCAAAGCGCCUCGAGGAGGGAGGAGACAAGGGUGAAUUAGGGUUCAUACUUGAUGGUUUUCCAAGAACUAUAAGACAAGCGGAAAUACUGGAGGGAGUCACAGAUAUUGAUUUGGUGAUCAAUCUCAAACUUCGAGAAGAGGCUCUGCUUGCAAAAUGCGUUGGUAGAAGGAAGUGCAGCCAGUGUGGAGGAAACUUCAAUGUGGCCUCCAUUGACAUUGAGGGUGAGAAUGGUGGGCCUCGAAUGUAUAUGCCUCCACUACUACCUCCUCCACAGUGCGAAUCGAAGUUAAUUACCAGAGCAGAUGAUACUGAAGAGGUGGUAAAGGAGCGAUUGCGUGUUUACCAUGAUUUGUGUGAACCAGUGGAGGAUUUCUACAGAGCACGGGGGAAACUCUUGGAGUUCGAUUUACCAGGAGGAAUCCCCGAAUCAUGGCCGAAGCUGCUCCAAGCUUUGAAUAUAGAAGAAGAUCCUGAUAACAAUAGAUCUGCAGCAGCAUAA